rnacentral:rRNA from 1 species
AUUGAACGCUGGCGGCAGGCCUAACACAUGCAAGUCGAGCGAGCGGCGGACGGGUGAGUAAUGUAUGGGGACUGCCCGAUCGAGGGGGAUAACUACUGGAAACGGUAGCUCAUACCGCAUACUAUCGGAUAACCCAUAUGGGAUUAGCAGGUAGGUGAGGUAAUGGCUCACCUAGGCGACGAUCCCUAGCUGGUCUGAGAGGAUGAUCAGCCAAACUGGGACGUGGACACGGCCCGGACUCCUACGGAGGCAGCAGUGGGGAAGAGUGCACAAUGGGCGCAAGCCUGAUGCAGCCAUGCCGCGUGUAUGAAGAAGGCCCUAGGGUUGUAAAGUACUUUCAGUCGGGAGGCGUUACCGACAGAAGAAGCACCGGCGAACUCCGUGCCAGCAGCCGCGGUAAUUC